GUUUCAUUACCACAAGCGUAUUAGCUGAUAUAGUACUGUCUCUUAUAGGAGUUCCACCACAGCAUAAUGCACCAAAUAGAGAUGAUUACAUAGUCGUAAACAAAAACAAUAUAUUACCAGAAAAACUACAUUUAUUUGAAAAAUUAAAAGAUGACGAGUGGUUAUUUUAUGAUAUUGACUAUGAUUUCAAUAGCGCUGGCCAUUUUGGGCCCCAUAAACAUACCACCAAUGGAUUUUCCACGAUAGCACCAAAGAUUGAAAACUUUAAAAUACGUAUUGGCGAUAGUAAAGGUUUCAGUUUAUAUGACAUCAUCAAAAUAAAUUUGCUCUAUAAUUAUAUUUCUAAAUAUAAAGGAGACGAGAAAAAAACAUUGUCUAAAUGUGACAAACUAUUUGAGCCUGGUGAAAUGUUGAACCAUGUAAAGUUAGCUGUUGAGAUUAAAAAUCCGAAACCAAGAAAAAAGCCUAGUAAAUAUCUAGUUUUACCUGUUGAAAAUGAUAAUGAAAACAAGAACGAUAAAAAUAUUAACGAAAGUAGCGAAGAAAGUGAUAAUCAAGAUACUAAUUUGAUGAUUGUUCCUCCGCAUGGUCGCCAGAUUCACCCAUUAAAAGAAAAAUCAAAAAUGGAAUUACUCGAAUUAUCUGAUUAUGGAUCUGAUGACUCUAAAUUUGAUCCUAAGAAAUUU